rnacentral:rRNA from 1 species
CGGGGGGGCAACGUUGUUCGGAAUUAUUGGGCGUAAAGGGCGCGCAGGCGGUAAGAUAAGUCAGACGUGAAAGCCCUCGGCUUAACUGAGGAAUUGCGUUUGAAACUGUUUUGCUUGAGUACAGGAGAGGAGAGUGGAAUUCCCAGUGUAGCGGUGAAAUGCGUANAUAUUGGGAGGAACACCGGUGGCGAANGCGGCUCUCUGGACUGUUACUGACGCUGAGGCGCGAAAGCAUGGGGAGCAAACGGGAUUAGAUACCCCGGUAGUCCAUGCUGUAAACGAUGGGCACUAGGUGUAGAGGGUUUCAACCCCUUCUGUGCCGAAGCUAACGCAUUAAGUGCCCCGCCUGGGGAGUACGGCCGCAAGGCUAAAACUCAAAGGAAUUGACGGGGGCCCGCACAAGCGGUGGACAUGUGGUUCAAUUCGACGCAACGCGAAGAACCUUACCUGGGUUUGACAUCUCCCGAAUUCCUUGAGAAAUCANGAAAUUCCCCCGAAAGGGGAAUGGGAAAGACAGGUGCUUGCAUGCUGUUCUUCACUCCUUUUCGUG